CAAAAAGAGACCAAAUCCAGACUCUGGCAGACCUGCUUCCCAGACACACUGUGGCCAACCUCCUACCUCCAGUCAGUGCAGAGCUAAGUACAGUCAGCACCUUCCGGGCACCUUCUGGGGAGACCCUAGGGAAUGGGACCACCACAGAGAUGUUUGUGAUGUGUUCAGUGUGAGGCUGUUGGUGGGAGGUCAGCAGCGUCCCUGGAUCAAGUCUCAUAGGUCCUCCCCUGCCCAUCCAAACUGGCCAUAGAGAAUCCUGAGCCUCAGUCCCUCACCUGCCAUGGGGACAGUAACCCUGGCUGUAUCAAUGCCCUCCCGUUCCUCCACCAUAGGUGAGGACUGCAGGCAGAGGUAAGCAGUUCCUGAGCAGGAGAGGAGAGGGCUGAUGGAGGAAAUGCUGGACUUUGAGGAAGGGGAGAGAGUCCAGAUCUGCUAGCUCCCAGAGGGAACCAGGCAGGAAACAGCACCCUGCAGGCCUGUCUUCUGGGUGUUCUUGCGGUUCUGGUCAUAGACCUCUGAAUUGAGCAAGGCAGUGGACCCAGGUUCCCAAAUGUACCCUCUAAAACAGGCCCCUGCUCACUCCUCUGUCUCCAACAGCUGCCACACAGGCUGGGGAAGAGGAAAGCUCCUUAAGGAAGAAGGUGUGUGACGGUGAUGUUGCCCUUUAUUUCAUUUUUCUGGUCCUGGGGAUUGAACGCAGAGCACUUUACCACU
rnacentral:lncRNA from 1 species